rnacentral:rRNA from 1 species
AUUGAACGCUGGCGGCAGGCCUAACACAUGCAAGUCGAACGAGUGGCGGACGGGUGAGUAAUGUCUGGGAAACUGCCUGCUGGAGGGGGAUAACUACUGGACACGGUAGCUAAUACCGCAUACCAUCAGAUGUGCCCAGAUGGGCUUAGCUUGUUGGUGGGGUAACGGCUCACCAAGGGGACGAUCCCUCGCUGAUCUGAGAGGAUGACCAGCCACACUGGAACAGAGAACCGGUCCAGAUUCCUACGGGAGGCAGGAGUGGGGAAGAUUGCACAAUGGGCGCAAUCCUGAUGCAGCCAUGCCGCGUGUAUGAAGAAGGCCUUCGGGUUGUAAAGUACUUUCAGCGGGGAGGCGUUACCCGCAGAAGAAGGACCGGGUAACUCGGUGCCAGCAGCCGCGGUAAUAC